rnacentral:rRNA from 1 species
UACAGAGGUCUCAAGCGUUGUUCGGAUUCAUUGGGCGUAAAGGGUGCGUAGGCGGGCAGGUAAGUCCGUGGUGAAAUCUCUGAGCUUAACUCAGAAACUGCCAUGGAUACUAUUUGUCUUGAAUAUUGUGGAGGUGAGCGGAAUAUGUCAUGUAGCGGUGAAAUGCUUAGAUAUGACAUAGAACACCAAUUGCGAAGGCAGCUCACUACACAAGUUAUUGACGCUGAGGCACGAAAGCGUGGGGAUCAAACAGG